rnacentral:tRNA from 1 species
UGCCCGCUGGUGUAGCGGUAGCACGAUGGACUUUGGAUCCACAGGGCGAGGUUCGAACCCUCGGCGGGCAGCCA